GUGGGGAAUAUUGGGCAAUGGGCGCAAGCCUGACCCAGCAACGCCGCGUGAAGGAAGAAGGCUUUCGGGUUGUAAACUUCUUUUGUCAGGGAAGAGCAGAAGACGGUACCUGACGAAUAAGCCACGGCUAACUACGUGCCAGCAGCCGCGGUAAUACGUAGGUGGCAAGCGUUGUCCGGAUUUACUGGGUGUAAAGGGCGUGUAGCCGGGCUGACAAGUCAGAUGUGAAAUCCCGCAGCUUAACUGCGGAACUGCAUUUGAAACUGUUGGUCUUGAGUACUGGAGAGGCAGACGGAAUUCCUAGUGUAGCGGUGAAAUGCGUAGAUAUUAGGAGGAACACCAGUGGCGAAGGCGGUCUGCUGGACAGCAACUGACGGUGAGGCGCGAAAGCGUGGGGAGCAAACAGG
rnacentral:rRNA from 1 species